GGGCAAGAUAUGUGAAGUUAGCUAACUUUUAAAAAAGUUAACUCACAUCACACAGGUCUUAUUCGCACAUGCCUGUGCUCAACGAAUCUUGCUCUGCGAGGCU
rfam:Nitrosomonas sp. AL212 plasmid pNAL21202, complete sequence.